AACAAACGCUGGCGGCAGGCCUAACACAUGCAAGUCGAACGCCCUAGCAAUAGGGAGUGGCGCACGGGUGAGUAACGCGUGGGAACGUGCCUUUCAGACUGGAAUAACUGCGGGAAACUGCAGCUAAUACCGGAUAUUCUCUACGGAGGAAAGAUUUAUCGCUGAAAGAUCGGCCCGCGUUAGAUUAGGUAGUUGGUGGGGUAAUGGCCUACCAAGCCUACGAUCUAUAGCUGGUCUGAGAGGAUGAUCAGCCACACUGGAACUGAGACACGGUCCAGACUCCUACGGGAGGCAGCAGUGGGGAAUAUUGGACAAUGGGCGCAAGCCUGAUCCAGCCAUGCCGCGUGAGUGACGAAGGCCUUAGGGUUGUAAAGCUCUUUUGUCAGGGAAGAUAAUGACGGUACCUGAAGAAUAAGACACGGCUAACUUCGUGCCAGCAGCCGCCGUAA
rnacentral:rRNA from 1 species